UACGGGGGGGGCAAGCGUUGUUCGGAAUUACUGGGCGUAAAGGGCUCGUAGGCGGCCAACUAAGUCAGACGUGAAAUCCCCCGGCUUAACCGGGGAAUGGCAUCUGAUACUGGAUGGCUGGAGUUUGGGAGAGGGAUGCGGAAUUCCAGGUGUAGCGGUGAAAUGCGUAGAUAUCUGGAGGAACACCGGUGGCGAAGGCGGCGUCCUGGACCAACACUGACACUGAUGAGCGAAAGCCAGGGGAGCAAACGGG
rnacentral:rRNA from 1 species